AUAUGGUUUGGUAUGGCUGUGUGGAACACCUGGAGCUGGACCAAAGUGCUUCACUGCUUCACGUGCAUUCUUUGGACCUCUGAGGAGAAGCGUGUUCUGUCCAAGUGGAGCCCUGAGAGCCAACUGAUCGAAUGUCAAGCAUUCGCCCCCAGCCUUCUCAAUCCUUGCCCUGGCUGUCUUUGUGAACUUCAAAGCACACACCUUCAAUUUUGGAACUUCAUAAGCCCUAACAUCGUCGGUAACAGUUCCCACAAGGACAACAGUCUUAUCGCCCUUUCCUUCAGCAUAAGAAAUCAACCUCGAGAGAGAAAGUGGAGGCUUGUUAAUCUUGCUCAUGAAG
rnacentral:misc_RNA from 1 species